AACGAAAUAGUUUAUUAAGAAUUUUGGGUUUGCGUCUCAUAGGUGGAGUUAUUCUUUCGUUA
rnacentral:tRNA from 1 species